UUCCACGAGUACACCACCCUCCUCUUCGUUGUCGUCCGCCUCAUCUUCCUCUGUGAAUGUCACUCUGAACACAAGCAGAGUACGCAAUAGUCUAGCUCCUUCUGUCUGCGUUCCACCUCCUCCAGUUCAUCGUCAUCCAAAUCAGAGGCCAGGGACAUGUUAUCUGCUUGGUCCUCCUCAAUAUCAGAGAGGUGGAGAUCAUCCUCUCCCUCCGCUAGGAUGUCUGCUGCCUUCAUGUCCCCCUUAGAAAGAUCAUCCAGCACCUGACGAGUGGAAGAAGAAUGAUCAGAAUGCACCUCAAAGGAAUCACCCAAACUCUUUGUGUACACCAACCAACUGUAACAUUAUUGCUACUUACUCCAAUAUAAUGACAUCCUCUGCACGAGCUGCAUCAAAUAAUUCUGAUUUACAAAAAAUAAUGCCCACCUCCCACCUUAUUACCUCAGAAAAUUUUAUCGUUUGAAGUAGGGCUGUGCGAUACGGCCAAAAUGUCAAUAUUUUUGCCGGAUAUCUCAAUAUUACAGUGGGUACAGCGAAAAAUAAUUUUAAUGAAAAAACUGAAUAUUAAACCAAAAGGGGAUGGGAAAUGUCGUUUAUUUAUUAGAAUUUAAUGAGAGCCAUCAACAUUAACAGUCAGCAAUAAAACUAAAAAUAAUUAAAAUCA